GACGAAGGAUGCAAGCGUUAUCCGGAUUCAUUGGGUUUAAAGGGAGCGUAGGUGGCCCAGUAAGUCAGUGGUGAAAUCUCCUCGCCUAACGAGGAAAUUGCCAUUGAUACUGCAGGGCUUGAGUACAGUUGCCGUUGGCGGAAUAUGACAUGUAGUGGUGAAAUGCAUAGAUAUGACACAGAACACCGAUUGCGAAGGCAGCUUACUAAAGUGUAACUGACGCUGAGGCACGAAAGCGUGGGGAUCAAACAGG
rnacentral:rRNA from 1 species